UACGUAGGGUGCAAGCGUUAAUCGGAAUUACUGGGCGUAAAGCGUGCGCAGGCGGUUAUAUAAGACAGUUGUGAAAUCCCCGGGCUCAACCUGGGAACUGCAUCUGUGACUGUAUAGCUAGAGUACGGUAGAGGGGGAUGGAAUUCCGCGUGUAGCAGUGAAUGCGUAGAUAUGCGGAGGAACACCGAUGCGAAGGCAAUCCCCUGGACCUGUACUGACGCUCAUGCACGAAAGCGUGGGGAGCAAACAGG
rnacentral:rRNA from 1 species